UGAGUGUAACAGUCACCAUUAGCAUUUCAGUGCUGGACAGAUCAUGUCCAUACUGUAUGAGAUUUUAAAUACAUCGGUAUGAAGAAGAUCCCAGGCCAUUCGCUACUGAAGGAGAAUAAAGUAAAAUAGAAUACCUGGCAAGUCCUGAGGUACAAGUGUUGGUACAAGCAUUGAUGCAACGUAAUCCCCUACUUGGACUGGAGAGCUACUUUCUUGUGCUGAGGCGGCAAUUUAAAUCACGGACUGUAUAAUAGAACAAGACUGGGAUUAUUUACCCAUUUCAAGAAACUAAGGCACUCUCAGUUAGAAGAUGCUCUCUGUGUAGAGGCUUCAAUCAAUGAAGGGUUGAGAUGCGCCACACCAUAAGCCAUACUGGGAAGAAAUGUACACUGGUCAUAGACAACUAAGAGCCAUGAGUUUGUGAUGAUAUCCUCCACAGAAAAAAGGAUGGCUGAGUAGCAAAAGAUUUUAAGACAGGGGAUUUCCUUGAGGAAAUCUUGUCUGAUUGCAGCACAGACACUACCAGCUCUGAAUCCUAGUGCAAAACUCAUGGACCUUGUGCGGCUCAACAUGUCAAGGU